GACGCCGCGUGGAGGAUGAAGGUCUUCGGAUCGUAAACUUCUGUCAUGCGGGAGCAAGGUCCGCCGGUUAACUGCCGGUGGGAUUGAUAGUACUGCAAGAGGAAGAGACGGCUAACUCUGUGCCAGCACCGUCGGUGACUGAGCGGGCUGGCAAGGCGCAUA
rnacentral:rRNA from 1 species